ACCGGACUCCUACGGGAGGCAGCAGUGGGGAGUAUUGCACAAUGGGGGAAACCCUGAUGCAGCGACGCCGCGUGAGCGAUGAAGUAUUUCGGUAUGUAAAGCUCUAUCAGCAGGGAAGAAAAUGACGGUACCUGACUAAGAAGCCCUGGCUAACUACGUGCCAGCAGCCGCGGUAAUACGUAGGGGGCAAGCGUUAUCCGGAUUUACUGGGUGUAAAGGGAGCGUAGACGGUCCUGCAAGCCAGAUGUGAAAGCCCGGGGCUCAACCCCGGGACUGCAUUUGGAACUGUAAGGCUAGAGUGUCGGAGAGGCAGGCGGAAUUCCUAGUGUAGCGGUGAAAUGCGUAGAUAUUAGGAGGAACACCAGUGGCGAAGGCGGCCUGCUGGACGAUGACUGACGUUGAGGCUCGAAAGCGUGGGGAGCAAACAGGAUUAGAUACCCCAGUAGU
rnacentral:rRNA from 1 species